rnacentral:rRNA from 1 species
ACGGGAGGCAGCAGUCGGGAAUAUUGCGCAAUGGAGGGAACUCUGACGCAGUGACGCCGCGUAUAGGAAGAAGGUUUUCGGAUUGUAAACUAUUUUAGACAGGGAAGAAAUUGACAGUACCUGUAGAAUAAGCUCCGGCUAACUACGUGCCAGCAGCCGCGGUAAUACGUAGGGAGCAAGCGUUAUCCGGAUUUAUUGGGUGUAAAGGGUGCGUAGACGGGAAAUCAAGUUAGUUGUGAAAGCCCUCGGCUUAACUGAGGAACUGCAACUAAAACUAAUUUUCUUGAGUGCAGGAGAGGAAAGCGGAAUUCCUAGUGUAGCGGUGAAAUGCGUAGAUAUUAGGAGGAACACCAGUGGCGAAGGCGGCUUUCUGGACUGUAACUGACGUUGAGGCACGAAAGUGUGGGGAGCAAACAGGAUUAGAUACCCUGGUA